rnacentral:rRNA from 1 species
AGACGGGCCUCGGACUGUCGC